rnacentral:rRNA from 1 species
UGGGGGAUCUUUGCGACAAUGGGCGGAAGCCUGAUCCAGCCAUGCCGCGUGUAUGAUGAAGGCCUUCGGGUUGUAAAGUACUUUUGGAGAGAAGAAAAGGUACCUCCUAAUACGAGGUACUGCUGACGGUUUCUGCACAAUAAGCACCGGCUAACUACGUGCCCGCAGCCGCGGUAAUACGUAGGGUGCAAGCGUUAAUCGGAAUUACUGGGCGUAAAGCGUGUGUAGGCGGUUCGCAAAGAACGAUGUGAAAUCCCCGGGCUCAACCUUGGAACUGCAUUUUUAACUGCCGAGCUUGAGUAUGUCAGAGGGGGGUAGAAUUCCACGUGUAGCAGUGAAAUGCGUAAAUAUGUGGAGGAAUACCGAUGGCGAAGGCAGCCCCCUGGGAUAAUACUGACCCUCAAACACGAAAGCGUGGGGAGCAAACAGGAUUAAAUACCCCUGUAGUC